rnacentral:rRNA from 1 species
GACGAACGCUGGCGGCGUGCUUAACACAUGCAAGUCGAACGGAAAGGCCCUACUUUUGUUUGGUGCUCGAGUGGCGAACGGGUGAGUAACACGUGAGUAACCUGCCCUUGACUUUGGGAUAACUGCAGGAAACUGGGGCUAAUACCGGAUAGUAGCUCCUGCUGCAGGUUGUGGGUUGGAAAUUUUCGGCGGUUGGGGAUGGACUCGCUGCUUAUCAGCUUUUAGGUGGGGUAGUGGCUUACCAAGGCUUUGACGGGUAGCCGGACUGAGAGGGUGACCGGCCACAUUGGGACUGAGAUACGGCCCAGAGUCCUACGGGAGGAAGGAGUGGAGAAUAUUGCACAAUGGGCGGAAGCCUGAUGCAGCAACGCCGCGUGCGGGAUGACGGCCUUCGGGUUGUAACCCGCUUUCGCCUGUGACGAAGCGUGAGUGACGGUAAUGGGUAAAGAAGCACCGGCUAACUACGUG